rnacentral:rRNA from 1 species
CACGUAGGGCGCAAGCGUUGUCCGGAAUUAUUGGGCGUAAAGAGCUCGUAGGCGGUCUGGUGCGUCCGCUGUGAAAACUCGGGGCUUAACCCCGAGCCUGCAGUGGAUACGGGCAGACUAGAGGUAGGUAGGGGAGAAUGGAAUUCCCGGUGUAGCGGUGAAAUGCGCAGAUAUCGGGAGGAACACCGGUGGCGAAGGCGGUUCUCUGGGCCUUACCUGACGCUGAGGAGCGAAAGCGUGGGGAGCGAACAGGG